CACCCGUGUCUAUUGUACCUUGUUGCUUCGGCGGGCCCGCCGUUUCGACGGCCGCCGGGGAGGCCCUCGCGCCCCCGGGCCCGCGCCCGCCGAAGACCCCAACAUGAACGCUGUUCUGGAAGUAUGCAGUCUGAGUUUGAUUAUCAUAAUCAGUUAAAACUUUCAACAACGGAUCUCUUGGUUCCGGCAUCGAUGAAGAACGCAGCGAAAUGCGAUAACUAAUGUGAAUUGCAGAAUUCAGUGAAUCAUCGAGUCUUUGAACGCACAUUGCGCCCCCUGGUAUUCCGGGGGGCAUGCCUGUCCGAGCGUCAUUGCUGCCCUCAAGCACGGCUUGUGUGUUGGGCCCCCGUCCCCGGUUUCUCCCCGGGGACGGGCCCGAAAGGCAGCGGCGGCACCGCGUCCGGUCCUCGAGCGUAUGGGGCUUUGUCACCCGCUCUGUAGGCCUGGCCGGCGCCAGCCGACACCCCCAACUUUAUUUUUCUAAGGUUGACCUCGGAUCAGGUAGGGAUACCCGCUGAACUUAAGCAUAUCAAUAAGCGGAGGAAAAGAAACCAACAGGGAUUGCCCCAGUAACGGCGAGUGAAGCGGCAAGAGCUCAAAUUUGAAAGCUGGCCCCCUCGGGGUCCGCGUUGUAAUUUGCAGAGGAUGCUUCGGGUGCAGCCCCCGUCUAAGUGCCCUGGAACGGGCCGUCAUAGAGGGUGAGAAUCCCGUCUGGGACGGGGUGUCUGCGUCCGUGUGAAGCUCCUUCGACGAGUCGAGUUGUUUGGGAAUGCAGCUCUAAAUGGGUGGUAAAUUUCAUCUAAAGCUAAAUACUGGCCGGAGACCGAUAGCGCACAAGUAGAGUGAUCGAAAGAUGAAAAGCACUUUGAAAAGAGAGUUAAACAGCACGUGAAAUUGUUGAAAGGGAAGCGUUUGCGACCAGACUCGCCCGCGGGGUUCAGCCGGCAUUCGUGCCGGUGUACUUCCCCGUGGGCGGGCCAGCGUCGGUUUGGGCGGCCGGUCAAAGGCCCUCGGAAUGUAUCACCUCUCGGGGUGUCUUAUAGCCGAGGGUGCAAUGCGGCCUGCCUG
rnacentral:sRNA from 1 species